AUAAAGGCAAUGAAAAGGAAAGUAGCUUUAAGAAUACUUUUACAGAGAACUUCUAUUUGGUGAGAGGAAGCAGAGGAUAUUAAAGUGAAAAUGGCCUUGGAGCUGUGCACCGAGAUUUUUAUAAAAUCAAGGCUGCAACGGGUUCACCCGUUAUAGUGAUAGAGUAUAACCAUAUACUAUGGCGUACUUGAAGAGGUGUAUAUUGUAAAAUAUACAUGAAUUAGGAUGGUAACACGAAGUUUAACUCUCGUUCCUAAG
rfam:[Clostridium] sordellii strain JGS6382 genome assembly, chromosome: 1